UGUACUUAUAUUUGGUGAUGAUGAUUUUGAUGAUGAUGAUAUAUAGAGUUGGUGAUGAUAAUGAUUGACAUGACUGCAAAAGAUGACACCUAAGUGCUGUUUGUACUUUUACUGUCUUUUUUUCAUUGGAUGAAUUUCAAUCAAGGCUUAUGCAAUUAAAUGUGUACAUAUGUUUCAAUUAGCCUGACCAUGGUUUAAUCAAUUUGUAUUUGGUUCAUUUACAAUGAUUUGGAAACUUAUUCAAGUGGCAUAUCCGUGCAUCUUGUUUCAAAAUGAAAAUGGAGUUGCAGAUCUACUUUUACGGGGGAUCUAGCCACUGUGUAUAGACAAAUAAUGAGUUAUAAGGUUUUACUAGUAGUAUUUCUUGUUAGAUGAAUUUCAAGUGAGUUUAGUGCUAUUGGAUUGCAUACAAGCAUUACUUCAGUGUGUGUGAUGACUGGUGCAUGAAGAGCUUUAUACGGACAAGCCAAUGGGGCAAAGCUAUUCCUUCUGCAUAUGGGAGCUAUUCUUUCGCUCCAUCAUUCCUCCUUCUGGAAUGGUUUGCUUGGAAAUUACUUAUUUGUGCUACUAGCCCACUACAUGCCACAUGCAUUUGGAGCCACAGAAAAGUUUUCACUAAACGUGUUUCCUUACGCCUGAACUUAUCUAAGCACUUGGGCUUCAAAUGAGUUGGGAGGUGGGAAUCCACAAGCCAGCUAAAAUGACUUUCAAGAUUGUUAUGGUUCUUGUAGAUGGUUAUCAUAGGUAUGAUUCUCUUCUUUUGCCGCAAUGUUUUGGGCUAUAUGCCUUCAGCAGAGAGAAGGAAGUUUUGGAUCAUGAUUUGUCUCUCUAUAAUCAUGGAUGGCUUACUAGCAGUACUUUCAGGGUAACUUUCUCACAUUUCUCUCAUGUAAUGGGCUUUAACCUGGAGCAAAACUUUUGAAUUUCUGACUUAUUUAUUCAAGGGGUUGCUAGAGGAAGUGGCAGGUAGCAUAUAGGAGCAUAUGUCAAUUUUGGGGCAUGUUAUCUGGUUGGGGUUCGAUUAGUCAUUGUUUUGGCCUUUAUUGUACACUGAAGAGGGAAAGGCCUGUAGAGUGGACUAUUGACAUUGUGCACCGUACAAGUAUUUCUAUUUCUACUUGCUCUUACAACAAGUUUCACAAAUUGGCAAAAAAAAUUUAUUAUUGCCAAGAAAAAAAAAAAUCUCCCUUUCUUUAUAAUUGGU